rnacentral:rRNA from 1 species
CCUAAAAUCUAGCCUUCAUAAAACCUAUACACCCACUAAUUAACAGUUAACAGUAUAAACCAUUUUAACUUUAUAGUAGAGGCGAUCGAAAAAUACUAAGAGCUUAAGAAAUAGUACCGCAAGGGAAAAAUGAAAUAAUACUGAAAUAAUAUAAAGCCUACCAAGCAGAGCCCCACUCGUAC